AUCUACACACUCCCCUGUGUGUGGCCCAAGUAGAUCUGCAGGGAAGUAUGGUAUGUUCCUGUGGCAGGAAAGUUCACACCGCUGUUCACAGCUACUCGGGCAUUUUAGUCCUGAGAGGGGCAGGAGCCAUCCCUCUAGGGCACCCACAGGUGGGCCAUGCAUUGCCACCUGCCAUACCUGCAUCAGCACCCCAACUCCUAGUCCCAGCCUGAUUAUACAAUGCACCAUGUGCCAACACUCCAUACAAAUGCUGGAAACACAAACAGCCAACUGCCCCACAGCCACCUGGACCCACAUAUCCCUCCCCCCCCCCCCGCCUCCUUAGGGGCACCCACAGGUGGGCCAUGCAUUGCCACCUGCCAUACCUGCAUCGGCACCCCAACUCCUAGUCCCAGCCUGAUUAUACAAUGCACCAUGUGCCAACACUCCAUACAAAUGCUGGAAACACAAACAGCCAACUGCCCCACAGCCACGUGGACCCACAUAUCCCUCCCCCCCCCGCCCGCCUCCUUAGGGGCACCAUCAGAUGGGCCAUGCAUUGCCACCUGCCAUACCUGCAUUGGCACCCCAACUCCUAGUCCCAGCCUGAUUAUUCAAUGCACCAUGUGCCAACACUCCAUACAAAUGCUGGAAACACAAACAGCCAACUGCCCCACAGCCACCUGGACCCACAUAUCCCUCCCCCCCCCGCCUCCUUAGGGGCACCCACAGGUGGGCCAUGCAUUGCCACCUGCCAUACCUGCAUCAGCACCCCAACUCCUAGUCCCAGCCUGAUUAUACAAUGCACCAUGUGCCAACACUCCAUACAAAUGCUGGAAACACAAACAGCCUACUGCCCCACAGCCACCUGGACCCACAUAUCCCUCCCCCCCCGCCUCCUUAGGGGCACCCACAGGUGGGCCAUGCAUUGCCACCUGCCAUACCUGCAUCGGCACCCCAACUCCUAGUCCCAGCCUGAUUAUUCAAUGCACCAUGUGCCAACACUCCAUACACAUGCUGGAAACACAAACAGCCAACUGCCCCACAGCCACCUGGACCCACAUAUCGCUCCUGCAUCCUUAUAAUGGGGCGGCUUGGUUUCUCAGGCAUUCUCUAAUGGUGGAGCGCCUAUCUUCAGCUCAGUUUCUGGGUCUCUCUCGUGGGGCGGCUUUGUGCUCAGGCGUUCUCUAAUGGUGGAGCGCCUCUCUUCAGCUCAAGUACUUGGCGUCUGCUUUAUCUGGCAGCCAGCCCCUUUCUUUGACAUGGGACGUUACAGGCAGGGGACCAGGCAACGACAAGGCGGGCAGCAAGCAACAGGCAGCAAGCAAAACCGCGCCCCUUAGACCACAGGAGGAGAAAGGACCCGCAAUGCAACCACACCAAACGGGAAGGGGAGCCAGGCACCUGCUNNNNNNNNNNNNNNNNNNNNNNNNNNNNNNNNNNNNNNNNNNNNNNNNNNNNNNNNNNNNNNNNNNNNNNNNNNNNNNNNNNNNNNNNNNNNNNNNNNNNGGCAGCGGCAAUGGACCAGGUAGGCGCAGUAAAGGCAGACCCAUUUUGGUACAGUGUGACACCGUACUCUUUUGCCAGGGUCAUCUGUUUCAGCGUCGUCAGGUGGUGUGACCUAUGGGCUGGGAGAAGGUGGGCCUGUGUGGAGCCAGCUAUGCUUGCCUGGCGCGGCAGAAGGGCUCGGGUUACUAUCCCAAGACGGCCCGAGUCAUUUAGGGCAAGGACCAGGGCCCGCUGGGCCACGCGCGCGUAUUGCGGCAGGAGGGAGCCCAGGCCCAAGCCGUAUUCGUCGGCGGGCAGGAGGGAGGUCCGGGUGGGGAAGCUGCGGGGGAGUCCGUAGCAGCGCUUUGCAUAACCAGCCAGGGUAGUGUCGAGCGUUGUUAUGUCCUGUUUUGUGAAGGGCAUUGCUGCGAAUCCAUAUGCAACUGUGGUGUGCACGCACUGUUGUAUCAUGCGCAGGCGUUGUGCCGGUGUCGCCAGGGAUGUGGCAAUGGCUGUGCCCUUGUCCUUAACAAUCUCGGUGACUCUUGCGACAUGUGCCGACCAGUCCAGCGAGAACGUGAGCUGCACUCCCAGGUACUUGUACGGCUGGGUCGGGGGGAAGUACGGGACAGGGGUCGUGCCAAUCUUAAUUGUGUUGGUCAUGUUGCGGCGCAUGGCGGCAAGGGUAGCUUUUCCUGUGGGCCCGUCAAGGUUGGGGUCCGAGCGAGAUUUGUCGUGCCAGAUGGCGGUGGUGGCACACUUGGUGUGAUUGACACGCAGGCUCGCCCACUCGGCGUAAGAUGCGAUUUUGUCACAUUGAACCUGCAGGUCGUCGAGCGAGUUGGUGAGCGCCGCCAGGUCGUCUGCGUACGCGGCGGCACUGCAAUGGUAUUGCAGGUUUUCGCUGGGGGUCAGGCAGCCGUAGUGGUAGCCCCGUCCACCCGCAUGGAGCCAGCGGACAAGAGGUUCCAUGAACAGAAUAAAGAGCACAGGUGAGAGUGUAUCACCUUGCACGGUGCCUCGCUCUAUAGGAAUGGCGGAUGUGCUUCCGUGUUCGGUGCGGAUGCGGGUGGUCGCAUGUGCAUACAGGUUGCGGACUGCGCGGAUCAGGUCCGUUGGCAGCCCAAGGUCAAACAUUAUUUGUAGUAAUCGGUCCUGGUCGAUUGUGUUAAACGCGGAGCUAUAGUCCACGUAUACCGCAUAGACAUCUUUUCCAAACAGUGCGGCAUCCUCAAGGGCAUGUACCAAAUUUAGGACCUGCCUUUCGGUGUUGCAGUAGGCACGGAAGCCUUCCUGCGCUUCACUGAAUAGCUGGAGGGGGCCAGCCAGUUCGCCAAUGCCCAAGGUAAGCAUGGACGUGUACAGCUUGUAGCAGGUAUUUGCGAGCGCAAUGGGCCGUUUGUUUUUUAUGUCCAGGGCGUCUCCAGGUUUGGGGAGUAGCACGGUCUCCGAUGCGGCCCAGGUUUCAGGUAUUUGUGACUUGACGUACAUGAUUUGCAGGAUACAGUGGAGGUUGCGCUUCAUGCCUGAUGGCAGGAUACGGAGCAGUUCGUUUGGUAUGCCGUCAGGGCCUGUCGCCUUGUUUCUGGAGAGGUGAGAAAUGCACUGCUCAAAAUUUGCCGUGUCUGCCAUGCUGGGGAGCAUGGAGUGUGUGUCAGGGUGCCGGUUGCGGUCCAGUGUGAAUUGAUCUGUUGCGUCGGCUUUCUCAAAUGGGUAGCCGCGUGUGGCGUUGCUGGGUAGUCGGAAGUCCCCAGUGCGGGUGCCGCGUGGUGGGGCGGACAGCUUUCGGAAGUGGGUUUCGAGUAUGGCGAGGAUGCUGGUGGAGUCAGUCGUCACCUCCCCAGUUUCUGGGUUCCGGACCGCUGGGAGACCCCGUUCCAUGUCUUCCUUCUGAAAGAUUCUCUUGUGCCCCUGUGCAGGGCGCGUGGCCAGGGUAUGUUGCAGCGCUGUGGCAGCGGCCUCUCGCUGGGCUUUGGCGCGGUCCGCCACUAGCUGGCGGUGCUCGGCCUGGCAGGCCUUUAUUUCGUUCCGCAGCUUUGCUGCCGCAUUGGCGGCGUCAACCUCAGGUAGGGCCUGGGGCCCUUGCGUGAGGUUUGUCAGUUGUGUCUUCAGGGCCACUUCCUUGUCCCAUAGGGGCUUUAGCACCCGUGCGGUGGAGCGUGAUGCGUGGUGUUUGCCAGUGAAGGGGGCUUUCCGGGUGCACUCUUCAAGGAGGCAUGUUAGCCCGGUGUCCAGUGCGGAGGCAAGUUGUUCUGCAAGUUGGUUGAUAUCGGCCUUCUGGAUGCUCGUGUCCUGCGCCAGGUCUCGGUGCAUGACGCUGGCGGGGUAGCCUGUGGGGUCCGUGCUGUGCCUUGUGAGUGCAUGUUCAAUUGAUUGCGUUGCCUGCCUUGUUGCGGAAUGCAGGUCGGCUGUUGCUUCCACCAAGGCUUCCUCCACUCGGGGAAAGCCGCUCAUCCGAAUCUGGUCCGAAGUUGGUCCGAAGAUCUGUCCGAAACCUGAUCCGAAGCCUGGUCCGAAAGACCAUCCGAAGCUGGUCCGAGUUCCUGUCCGAAAGACCCCACCCCUGUCCGAAGUUUUUGUCUCCGAAGCUGGUCCGAAGUCGGUCCGAAUCUGGUCCGAAUAGCAUCCGAAUUACAAGUAUUUCGGACACUUUUGUCGGAUGCCAAGAUUCGGACGCAAUGUUCGGACCAGACCGGCCAUCCGAAUGGCAAUUCGGACGCGCCCAGCCCCAUUUCGGACACGCCCAGCUGUUGAUUCGGACGCACCCAGCCCCAUUUCGGACAUGCCCAGGCGUCAAUUUGGACACGCCCAACACCAUUUCGGACGCCGCCACCACCCGCUGCUGCCCAGUGCCCCGCCUGCUGCGCUUUUGUGGUGUCUACAGACACCGUUGCAUGUCCUGUCAUGCCCUUGUCAUGUAGCAGCGGCUCCCCUGCCCUUGUUCAACCCUGUACACAUACCCUUUUUGCUUGCUCCUGGGUCCCUUUGGCUACCUCGUCGCGCUCCUCGGCCCUACACAUGCGCCUCCAUGUUUGCGCACAUAUCACCUGCAUACACAGCACCACCGGCGUUGCAAGAGGCAUGGUGACAAGCCUUUCCCCGAGAUACAUGCUGUAUCUCACAUGCUGUAUACAUGCCCUGUCCGUUGAGCUGCCCACUGCACACAUGUCUUGGUGCUCCUUUUCAUGUGGAUUGCAUCACGAAAUCUGACUUACCACCAAAACGCAAAAGCGCCAUUGCCAGCAGCACAUGCACCGAUGCCGAGACGAAGGUUGACAUGAGAAUAGGGCGGCCGGGGAAUUGCAAGCAGAUAUUUGCAUGCAUAAGCAAUUGCAAACUAUUAGGACCCCGUGCGAAAGCGCAGGCAGGGCAGACGAAUGGUUGUUGACCGCGACAGGAAAACACUGCUGUAGACGUUUUGAGCUGAUACAAUGCGAGUUCUCAGUCAAAAACUUACAUUCUUGGGCCGUGAGCCUGUUUGGCCUUGAAUUUCGUGCAGGUCGGCGAAGGUCAGCGACAAAUCCUCCACUUUGACCAAGUUUGUAGCACCUCCGCCAACCCCUCAGGCAUGCUCGCAAGCUUGUGUCUAACAUAGUUGCUAUGAAUAGCAUCGUGCAGUAUCAUAGAGGGUUUGAGAACGUGGAACACUGCAUGCCGAUAUCGCUUGCAACAGAGAUAGGCUGUAACAGGCUAGCGAUACAUUUAACAACUUGUUAGUAUUAAAUCUGUAGUGUAUAGUAUGAGUCUUAUAAGAGAGUCAUACUAUUAAGUUGAGAAGCUGAAUGUCGGGUCUCCCCAUGCAGCAGCGCUGCCCCAUUGCGCAUGCCAGCUCGCCUCCCUUCUGGUAAUGCCAUUGCUAGGACGCUUAAUCCAAUGUAUGCGGCUGCGUCGGAUGCGGGCAUGGGAUGCAUGUGCCUGCCGCGCAGAUGGGGCCACACAAGCAGGCCACGCCCAGAAACACACUUCCCCACAGCAUACGCACACAGGACACGCCCCGCUGGGCUGCCAGCUUGAAGACACGCACAGUUGGCCAUCGUGCUGUGUUAGGCCAAGCGAUGGGCGUUGGUUGCGUCGGAUGCGGGCAUGGAUGGGAUGCAUGUGCCUGCCGCUCAGGUGGGGCCACACAAGCAGGCCACGCCCGGAAACACAGUUUCCCACAGCGCACACACACAGAACACGCCCCGCUGGGCUGCCAGCUUGAAGACACGCACAGUUGGCCAUUGCGCUGUGUUGAGUCAAGCAUUGGGCGCUGGUUAUGUCCGAUGCGGGCAUGGGAUGCAUGUGCCUGCCGCGCAGAUGGGGCCACACAAGCAGGCCACGCCCAGAAACACACUUCCCCACAGCAUACGCACACAGGACACGCCCCGCUGGGCUGCCAGCUUGAAGACACGCACAGUUGGCCAUCGUGCUGUGUUAGGCCAAGCGAUGGGCGCUGGUUGCGUCGGAUGCGGGCAUGGAUGGGAUGCAUGUGCCUGCCGCUCAGGUGGGGCCACACAAGCAGGCCACGCCCAGAAACACUCUUCCCCACAGCAUACGCACACAGAACACACCCCGUUGGGCUGCCCGCGUGGAGACACACGCAGUUGGGCAUUGUGCUGUGUUGGGCCAAGUGACAAACAACAAGCACCCCGCCCACGCCCACAGCAUUGCCCUUGCUCACACCCUUGCACUUGCCCCUGCCCCUGUACACGCAAACGCGCACGCAUGCACGCAAGCACGCACGCACACACGCACACAGGUGCACACCCACGCGCACGCACACGCACACACGCCCGCACAAGCGUGCACACACACCCACAAAUGCACAAGCUCAUGCUCAUGUACGCACAUACGCGUGCGCGUCAAUACACACGCACCUCGUGUACACACGAGCACACGCAUACACAAGCCCACAUAUGCACACACACACACAUACUGUCCUACGCGUAAUGUUUUCCUUGUGCUCUUUAACACACACACACACACACAUGCGCACACACACACACACACACACACACACACACACACACACACACACACACACACACACACACACACGCCUUUGGCAGAAGGUACGCUGGGAAUGGUGACACUUUGAGACGCUGUGGCGGUUGGCCAUUGACGCAGUGCCGCUGCCGGGAAACUCGCAUACGCCGUUGGCUCGCCGUGAGCCAUGCGGCUGUGGGCAGCACGGCCAUGGGGGCGCCGCGGCGGAGGCACACGCCGCCGCCGCGCCCACGCCACGGCAGCACCACUUCUGGGAUUGCGCGGUGGCGAAGGCCGUUGUGGCGCAGAUUAACGCACACAACCCCGGUCCGGCUCCCAUCAGCCAAGCCCAGCUGUGGCUGGUCCAGGCGCCGCCGGGUUUUCAGCAGUGUGUUUGGGACAUGGUGGUGAUGGACACGCCUGCGAGUGGAUUGCCUCUUUAAUGUCUACUAUCAAUAGCUACUCGGCAUUAGGUGAGGUGUGAGCAUCAGGGGAUAAAGAAUUCGAGGUGUACGCGACGAACGGAAAACCCACCGGGGUCGAUGGGUUUUUUUCGUUUCGCACACAAGCCGUAUUCCUCAAUUCUUAUUGUCUGUACCACUUUAUAGAGCCAAACUGUAUUCGUUUGUCAUCAACAAUGCAUCCAACACCAGCCGCAGACUGUGCGAGGAGGGAUUGAUUUCGAACUUAGCUGGCAGACCUCACUAGAAUGACUGUCUUCUCCCGGUUCGGUUGCCUUGGGAACCCCACUCAAAUGCUACAUGAGCUUGGUCGGGCAGUGGAGCGUGCGCGGCAUUGGAAGUCCACUUUCAAGCGGCAAUUCUUCCUCGCGGCAGUUUCGCUGGGGAAGUGUGAGCCCGGCAGCCAGCUGGUGGUCUACAAGGAUGGCGUGGAGUACACCACACUCGGGGAAAGCCGCUCAUCCGAAUCUGGUCCGAAGUUGGUCCGAAGAUCUGUCCAAAACCUGAUCCGAAGCCUGGUCCGAAAGACCAUCCGAAGCUGGUCCGAGUUCCUGUCCGAAAGACCCCACCCCUGUCCGAAGUUUUUGUCUCCGAAGCUGGUCCGAAGUCGGUCCGAAUCUGGUCCGAAUAGCAUCCGAAUUACAAGUAUUUCGGACACUUUUGUCGGAUGCCAAGAUUCGGACGCAAUGUUCGGACCAGACCGGCCAUCCGAAUGGCAAUUCGGACGCGCCCAGCCCCAUUUCGGACACGCCCAGCUGUUGAUUCAGACGCGCCCAGCCCCAUUUUGGACACGCCCAGCUGUUGAUUCGGACGCACCCAGCCCCAUUUCGGACAUGCCCAAGCGUCAAUUUGGACACGCCCAACACCAUUUUGGACGCCACCACCACCCGCUGCUGCCCAGUGCCCCGCCUGCUGCGCUUUUGUGGUGUCUACAGACACCGUUGCAUGUCCUGUCAUGCCCUUGUCAUGUAGCAGCGGCUCCCCUGCCCUUGUUCAACCCUGUACACAUACCCUUUUUGCUUGCUCCUGGGUCCCUUUGGCUACCUCGUUGCGCUCCUCGGCCCCACACAUGCGCCUCCAUGUUUGCGCACAUCCCUAUGGCACCCAAAUGGUGGUAAGGAUCCAAAAACGGGGGUGACGAUCCCCGGACAGGGGGUAACGAUUGUUUCGGGCCCGCACGGCCUGGCACGCCCAGGACGCAAGCCAAGUGGUGCUGUGGUCACAUCUUAGCUACUUGUCAUGCAUACGCACAUUGCAGACUGGGCGGAGUGCCUUGCGUCUCCGACAAGUGAACAUGCCGACAUUCUAGUCUGCAAAGUGCGUAUUGUAGUGACAGUUUGUGUUAAAACAGUCUAUAAUGUGAAGCCUUAAACUUAUGUAGUCUUUGCGCUCGUGAACGAGGAAGUCUGGGGGCUGUAGGCCGACUGUGUGACAUUGUGACAGGGACCCUUGGGCGUGGUAACGACCCUAAGCCAGGGGUAACGGGGUUCCUGCAUGGGGUUCUCGCGGGCCUGACUUAACAAGCAGCAUAGAGCGGCCCCUGAUACUAAUACACAUAUACUGAUAUAGUACCAUACAUAUACUGAUACACUGCACUUCAUGCCGGUGCCGCUGCACUUCUGUUCCUCUCCCCCACUUUGCUCUCUCGCGCUUGCUACUUCUCUUUGUAACACAAAUUUAUGCUAGCUCAAAUGUCAGUAGAACAAGAGCUGGCGGCAGACGCUGCUUGGCUGGCUUGGGACGCGAGUCCUCACGCUGCUGACUGCUCGUUGACCGGCUUGGCAACGCUGCUCACACGUCAGCUGCAGCCAGCUAUUACUUGAGAGAAACGACUAUGCCUCAUAAUCUAUCAGCUGCGCUUCAAAUGUCCGACCGAGAAGUCUCGGCGGUCGCCGGCGUCAACAACGCCAUUCAACAUCGUGUUCUGUCAACAUCACCCUCGCCCCGCACGCCAGAGUCCGCAGGUUAGUCUGCAGGUUAGUCCGCAGGUUGAAUGACGAUGGGAUGCGUUGAACCUAGUGGUACCUCGCAAGCCAGUGUGCAUGGUUCAUCUUCUCGCGCUGUGUUGGGUUGUUUGGUGGAGCCCCCGCCUACAACUAGUGACUGUCUGCUGCCUCCCUUACCAGCGCUCGCUGUAAGGUGUUUUUAUGGCUCCCUUGCCACGGUGCCUUGUGUCUCACAUACCACCCCGCCCCCCUCCGCACGCACACACCCUGCCCCGCGACAGCUUGCUGCCCAACCCCUGUUGUACCCUAUGGACCGUAUGGUUGGCUGGACUGCCCCUACACCUCCAGCAUUGUGCUCAUCAACGGUGAGUGUCCGUGACACGUGUGGGCGCGCACACAUGCACAUGUGCACACAGACACGCCUUGUGUGGUAGGCCCCGUGCACUGCCAAGCACUCUGUCCAUGGCUGGCCUUGACAUGCAUUGGCACCUACCCGUCUUGUGGCAGACGAUUAACUGGGUGUGUCUAUGUGUGUGCACGCAUGCAUGCAGUCGCUGCCGGUGGAAGCAAAACUACAGGAGCCAGCGUGACACCAGCUGUCUGGCGCUAGAGAUGGAGGCGGGCGCGGCGGCGCCAGUGGCAUAGUUUGGCAUGGUAGCUGUGGUGGCGGCGGGCGUCAAGGUGGUGGGUCAGAGACGUUGUGCCCAGCAGACAUGCAAGUGGUUGCUGCCAGUGGCUAGUUGCACGUUCACAUGCAGACAUGACUAGGCGUAUUGUUGCAUGUACAUAUGGACUUGCGGUAGUGUUGCAUAAGUGUUGCAUGAGCAUCUGCACUUGUCGUGCUAUCAAGCCUUGACAGAUGGCUAGCAUGUGGAGUAGCGGUAGGACUACAUAGUUCUUACGUUAGUACUGAGGUAGGCCUUCAGCAAAGCACAAGGCUGCCAUGUAACGGGCGUCAAAGUGAUGGUUACUGGUGUGCCUUGUAGACCGUGACAAGGCUGUUACCAUGGCUGGUUAAGAUGGUAAGCAGAUCGUAGUGAGAUCGUAACGAUGCCGGAGGGGUAACGAUCUACGACCUAGGUAACAGCGAUCGUAACGAUCGUUUGGGUGCCAUAGGGCAUAUCACCUGCAUACACAGCACCACCGGCGUUGCAAGAGGCAUGGUGACAAGCCUUUCCCCGAGAUACAUGCUGUAUCUCACAUGCUGUAUACAUGCCCUGUCCGUUGAGCUGCCCACUGCACACAUGUCUUGGUGCUCCUUUUCAUGUGGAUUGCAUCACGAAAUCUGACUUACCACCAAAAUGCAAAAGCGCCAUUGCCAGCAGCACAUGCACCGAUGAGACGAAGGUUGACAUGAGAAUAAGGCGGCCGGGGAAUUGCAAGCAGAUAUUUGCAUGCAUAAGCAAUUGCAAACUAUUAGGACCCCGUGCGAAAGCGCAGGCAGGGCAGACGAAUGGUUGUUGACCGCGACAGGAAAACACUGCUGUAGACGUUUUGAGCUGAUACAAUGCGAGUUCUCAGUCAGAAACUUACAUUCUUGGGCCUUGAGCCUGUUUGGCCUUGAAUUUUGUGCAGGUCGGCGAAGGUCAGCGACAAAGGCCUCCACUUUGACCAAGUUUGUAGCACCUCCGCCAACCCCUCAGGCAUGCUCGCAAGCUUGUGUCUAACAUAGUUGCUAUGAAAUAGCAUCGUGCAGUAUCAUAGAGGGUUUGAGAACGUGGAACACUGCAUGCCGAUAUCGCUUGCAACAGAGAUAGGCUGUAACAGGCUAGCGAUACAUUUAACAACUUGUUAGUAUUAAAUCUGUAGUGUAUAGUAUGAGUCUUAUAAGAGAUCAUACUAUUAAGUUGAGAAGCUGAAUGUCGGGUCUCCCCAUGCAGCAGCGCUGCCCCAUUGCGCAUGCCAGCUCGCCUCCCUUCUGGUAAUGCCAUUGCUAGGACGCUUAAUCCAAUGUAUGCGGCUGCGUCGGAUGCGGGCAUGGGAUGCAUGUGCCUGCCGCUCAGAUGGGGCCACACAAGCAGGCCACGCCCGGAAACAAGGUUUCCCACAGUGCAUGCACACAGAACACACCCCGUUGGGCUGCCCGCGUGGAGACACACGCAGUUGGGCAUUGCGCUGUGUUGGGCCAAGCGAUGGGCGCUGGUUGCGUCGGAUGCGGGCAUGGGAUGCAUGUGCCUGCCGCGCAGAUGGGGCCACACAAGCAGGCCACGCCCGGAAACACAGUUUCCCACAGUGCACGCACACAGAAGACACCCCGUUGGGCUGCCCGCGUGGAGACACACGCAGUUGGGCAUUGCGCUGUGUUGGGCCAAGUGACAAACAACAAGCACACGCCCACGCCCACAGCCUUGCCCUUGCUCACACCCUUGCACUUGCCCCUGCCCCUGUACACGCAAACGCGCACGCAUGCACGCAAGCACGCAUGCACGCACGCACACAGGUGCACACCCACGCGCACGCACACGCACACGCGCCCGCACAAGCGUGCACACACACCCACAAAUGCACAAGCUCAUGCUCACGUACGCACAUACGCGCACCUCGUGUACACACGAGCACACGCAUACACAAGCCCACAUAUGCACACACACACACUGUCCUACACGUAAUGUUUUCCUUGUGCUCUUUAACACACACACACACACACACACACACACACAUGCGCACACACACACACACACACACACACACACACACACACACACACACACACACACACACACACACACACACACACACACACACACACACACACACACACACACGCCUUUGGCAGAAGGUACGCUGGGAACGGUGACACUUUGAGACGCUGUGGCGGUUGGCCAUUGACGCAGUGCCGCUGCCGGGAAACUCGCAUACGCCGUUGGCUCGCCGUGAGCCAUGCGGCUGUGGGCAGCACGGCCAUGGGGGCGCCGCGGCGGAGGCACACGCCGCCGCCGCGCCCACGCCAUGGCAGCACCACUUCUGGGAUUGCGCGGUGGCGAAGGCCGUUGUGGCGCAGAUCAACGCACGCAACCCCGGUCCGGCUCCCAUCAGCCAAGCCCAGCUGUGGCUGGUCCAGGCGCCGCCGGGUUUUCAGCAGUGUGUUUGGGACGUGGUGGUGAUGGACACGGCUGGGAGUGGAAUGCGUCUUUAAUGUCUACUAUCAAUAGCUACUCGGCAUUAGGUGAGGUGUGAGCAUCAGGGGAUAAAGAAUUCGAGGUGUACGCGACGAACGGAAAACCCACCGGGGUCGAUGGGUUUUUUUUCGUUUCGCACACAAGCCGUAUUCCUCAAUUCUUAUUGUCUGUACCACUUUAUAGAGCCAAACUGUAUUCGUUUGUCAUCAACAAUGCAUCCAACACCAGCCGCAGACUGUGCGAGGAGGGAUUGAUUUCGAACUUAGCUGGCAGACCUCACUAGAAUGACUGUCUUCUCCCGGUUCGGUUGCCUUGGGAACCCCACUCAAAUGCUACAUGAGCUUGGUCGGGCAGUGGAGCGUGCGCGGCAUUGGAAGUCCACUUUCAAGCGGCAAUUCUUCCUCGCGGCAGUUUCGCUGGGGAAGUGUGAGCCCGGCAGCCAGCUGGUGGUCUACAAGGAUGGCGUGGAGUACAUCGGCACCCUGCCCGCAACAGCAAAGCCGUUCCUGCUCUUCGGCACGACGUUUGUCCCCAGCAGGCCGCGGGGGGCGCCAGCGCCCGAGGUGGGCAGCAGAGGACACUGUGACCAGUCCAGCUGCAGACACUUAGGCACCCCCUUAAAUGUACUGCUGUUUACGCAGAACCCCCCCGUGCCAGUGACCUUGAUGGAGCUCACGGGGUCCAAGUCAAAGCCCGAGCGGGCAUGCGACUACGUGCGGGAGGGCGGCGCCCUGCUGGUGCAGGAAAUCAUGGCGGGGCAAGAGGGGUGGCUGCAGGCAGACCUGAGCGGCAAGGCAAGAAUGCUGCUGGAGAUUGCCGCACUGGAGGGCGCUCCCACACCGGGCACCCUCGCAGCAAACAACCCCACGUACAACUACGCGGUCCGCGCUUUUGAGGAUGCCGCACAGGUGCGAAAGGCUUCCCGGUGAUUACAGGUGCUGCCCAACUACGGCCAUGUUGUACUGCUCCUGACCCACGUCCUCCGAUAGAUUAUGAUGGCCACUCACACACUUAACCAUGCAGGAGCUGACCAACAAGGCCGUGGCGCAGCAGCUGGCAGAGGAGCGGGCACAGGCACAGCAGCUGGCAGAGGCGCAGGCGCAGGUGCAGCAGCUGGCAGAGGCGCGGGCGCAGGCGCAGCAGCUGGCAGAGGCGCAGGCGCAGGUGCAGCAGCUGGCAGAGGCGCAGGCGCAGGCGCAGCAGCUGGCAGAGGCGCAGGCGCAGGCGCCGGUGGUACAGGGGUGGUCACCCGAAGACCAACAGCCUGGCGGCUCGGCUGGGCCCGCGGAGUACGUGCCGGCUACAGAGCUCACUGAGGCGGGCAGUGAUGCCGGCACCGACACGACACAGGACACAAAGCAGCUCGGCGCCGCCAGUACCCGCACCAGCGAGCCGCCUGCACGUCGCGUACCUGCUUCUUUGACCCAGCAGCGUAUGGCUGGGGAGGUCAGCAACAGUGGCGCAAGUGGUGAACCACCGAGAUUUACCGUUGCAAGGUCAAGGAGGUGCCACCUGCCCUGCAGUGCGGCCUGGGCCUUGCCGCCGUGCGUCUGCCGGCAACGCUUACAAGGCUGAUCAACCCUCGCCUGAUCGCGGAGCUGGCGUCGCUGGCGGACAAACGCGGAGAGCAGAUCUUCCAGCGCAUCUCAGCACUGCAGGGCGUGCAGGCGGAGAUCCGGAUGAGCGUGGGGACGGGCCAGCGGGUUCAGGUGCUGUGGAAGGACCUCGCGGGCAGCGCUGGGCUCCUGGUGCUCUGCGACAAACUGCGACCGUUGCUGGAGGAGGUCGUGACAGCGGCAGACCCGAAGGGUGAGCUGGGGCUGCACCUGGAGGACGCCGUGCUGCUGGCGAACCUGCCCGGCACUCGUCCGGUUGCCGAGCAGGUGCCCCACUACGACAUGGCGCCAGGGGAGCCCGGGUGGUUCAUCAUGCUCGCCCUCCAGCCGGCAAGCCUGCUGGUGGCGCAGGCCAGUCAGCACGAGGUCCUGCUGUGGGGCCGCGCGUACACCGCAGCACAGGAGGCGGGCCGGACUGCAGCUGUGCUGAAGGACCUCUGCGCCAGCACCCCCCACCGGCGGCUGGUGCGCCUGCAGCUGCCGGUGGGCGAGUUGCUGUUCGUGCACUCCAACCUCGUGCAUGCAGGCGACGCCGGGCGACUGGAUGGCAGCUACUCCCUGCGGCUGCACUGGUUCGUGAAGAGUGCGAAAACAACGAACAACACCCACCUGCCGCGCCAGAUCCACGUGGAGCUCGAGAAGCGCUUUGUGUGAUGGCUCAGACACACUCAGGAUGAAGGGGCGGGGCGGGGCGGGGCGGGGCGGGGCGGGGCGGGGCGGGGCGGGGCGGGGCGGGGCGGGGCGGGGCGGGGCGGGGCGGGGCGGGGCGGGGCGGGGCGGGGCGGGGCGGGGCGGGGCGGGGCCGGGUGGCGGGGCGGCCACAUUGGGAAGGUGAAUAUGCUUGUCAAUUAGGUUGUGUGGGAAAUAGAACAGGUUCAUCAGUGUGGCGGCAAGACAAACCAAGUUGACACGCGCUGUCACUCGUCUGGGUUCUGUCUGUGUUGCACCCUAGCAUUCUUACGGCUUCGUCGUCAGGGUAAAAGCUUGUCCCCUUGACAUAUGAACAGUUUGUGUGGCGAGGUUGUCAUGACCAGGGACUGGAGCGAGAUUAGAGAUGGGCCAGGGCGGGCCCCCUGACACCUCAGCACUGUUUAGUCCAGAAGUUCCCGGUUCUAAUUAAGCCUACUUUUUGGUGGUAGUUGCGACAUCAUUAUCUGACACCGUGCGGAAGUGAAGGUGGGGGUGGGUGGGGGCAGCAGUUGUUUGUUUGCUGCAAUCGCACGUCCAUGGACGCAACUCUAAACUGCUGGUUCUACGGACUGAAACGUUUCAGUCCGUAGAACCAGUACUGUGUGAGAAUCAAGAAGCCACUAGCAAAGCUUAAAGUUACAGGAAUUACUAUGUUGGCGGGCGGCCCUCCUUUGGGCCGGCCAUCCGAAUCAAUCGGCCUGUCCGAAAUGGGCCGCCCAGGCCUCUGGGCUGGGCGCCCAGACUGCCCCUCCCAUCCGAACCUCCCGGUCUGAACUUUUCGGACCGGCUUCGGACCAGCUUCGGACCAGGUUCGGACGUCAAACCCCGGUUUCGGACGCCUUGGUUUUCCCCGAGUGAUAUGGCCACAAGCAAAGCGUCGUUGCAUGCACAAACCAUCUCAUCCCAGCCAGCCGCCGAAUGCAUGCGUGCAUCCCUGCUGCCAGCCUACCGUGGAUCAACUGCCUGCUAUCUAUCUAGUUGCGUGAGUCCGCCUACGACCGUACUGAUCCCCAUAAUGUACCACCACGCCUGCCCUGGCGACCUGGCUUGUCGCAGCUUGUCCCAGGCCUGAUUGGUGGUGCACGGGCAGCUCCAGGGCCAUUCUCCUGGAGGAUGUGGACUGUGAUGGAGACGACCUGCUGGACUCGGUGUGUUACGACCUGGCGGGCAAUCCAGGCAUCAUCGGCUCAGGGAUUGACUGCACGGACACCUGGCCCUCCGUGGCAGCCUCCUAUUGCCCGCCUGUUUUCAACGGUACGAACGCUAGCUAUGACGGGCACGCGCACGGGCAUAUGGCAAUGCAUAUAGAUGCACGUACGACCACCUGCACGCAAAUCCUAUACUGCCUAUAAUCAGAAUCUUUGCGCCUGAUAUGAGUGAUGCUUGCUCCUUUCCUGACCCGGCCUGCCCUUCCCCACCGCUUCUCAAUUAGGGCAGGGCACCAUCAGAUGGGCCACACAUUGCCACCUGCCAUACCUGCAUCAGCACCCCAACUCCUAGUCCCAGCCUGAUUAUACAAUGCACCAUGUGCCAACACUCCAUACAAACGCUGGAAACACAAACAGCCAACUGCCCCACAGCCACCUGGACCCACAUAUCCCUCCCCCCCCCCCGCCUCCUUAGGGGCACCAUCAGAUGGGCCACACAUUGCCACCUGCCAUACCUGCAUCAGCACCCCAACUCCUAGUCCCAGCCUGAUUAUACAAUGCACCAUGUGUCAGCACUCCAUACAAAUGCUGGAAACACAAACAGCCUACUGCCCCACAGCCACCUGGACCCACAUAUCCCUCCCCCCCCCGCCUCCUUUGGGGCACCAUCAGAUGGGCCAUGCAUUGCCACCUGCCAUACCUGCAUCAGCACCCCAACUCCUAGUCCCAGCCUGAUUAUACAAUGCACCAUGUGCCAACACUCCAUACAAAUGCUGGAAACACAAACAGCCAACUGCCCCACAGCCACGUGGACCCACAUAUCCCUCCCCCCCCCCCCUGCCUCCUUAGGGGCACCCACAGGUGGAUGGGCCACGCAUUGCCAUCUGCCAUACCUGCAUCAGCACCCCAACUCCUAGUCCCAGCCUGAUUAUUCAAUGCACCAUGUGCCAACACUCCAUACAAAUGCUGGAAACACAAACAGCCAACUGCCCCACAGCCACGUGGACCCACAUAUCCCUCUCCCCCCCCCCGCCUCCUUAGGGGCACCAUCAGAUGGGCCACACAUUGCCACCUGCCAUACCUGCAUUGGCACCCCAACUCCUAGUCCCAGCCUGAUUAUACAAUGCACCAUGUGCCAACACUCCAUACAAAUGCUGGAAACACAAACAGCCAACUGCCCCACAGCCACCUGGACCCACAUAUCCCUCCCCCCCCGCCUCCUUAGGGGCACCCACAGGUGGGCCACACAUUGCCACCUGCCAUACCUGCAUCGGCACCCCAACUCCUAGUCCCAGCCUGAUUAUUCAAUGCACCAUGUGCCAACACUCCAUACAAACGCUGGAAACACAAACAGCCUACUGCCCCACAGCCAC
rnacentral:lncRNA from 1 species